rnacentral:lncRNA from 1 species
GGCUGCGUGGAUCGCGCUGUCAUGCGGAGUCACGAGAGGUCAGAAGUGGGCUUCACUUCUCAUGUAGAUGGAGUUACUGGUGUCUGUGAACCACCAGAUGCGGAUGCUGGGAUCUGAUCUCUGAUCCUCUGAUAGAGAAGAUCACAGUGUGUGGCUCUCACUGUCCUGGAACUCACUAUUGUAGACCAGCCUAGCCUAGAACUCAAGAGAGAUCUGCCUGCCUCCCCAAUCUCUGCCCCCAAAGUGCGGGGAUUACAGCUGUGGACCACCACAGCCAGCUGGGUUUUUGUUUUGUGAGCACAUCCCAUAGGGGCCAGUCCUCAUGUCUUGUAUCAUCA